rnacentral:tRNA from 1 species
CAAGGAAUAGAUCAGUUUAGAAUCCUAGCUUUGGGGGUUAGGGGCGGGAGUUAAAAUCUCCUUUUUUUGA